GUGGGGAAUAUUGGACAAUGGGGGGAACCCUGAUCCAGCCAUGCCGCGUGUGUGAAGAAGGCCUUUUGGUUGUAAAGCACUUUAAGCGAGGAGGAGGCUACCGAGAUUAAUACUCUUGGAUAGUGGACGUUACUCGCAGAAUAAGCACCGGCUAACUCUGUGCCAGCAGCCGCGGUAAUACAGAGGGUGCAAGCGUUAAUCGGAUUUACUGGGCGUAAAGCGCGCGUAGGUGGCCAAUUAAGUCAAAUGUGAAAUCCCCGAGCUUAACUUGGGAAUUGCAUUCGAUACUGGUUGGCUAGAGUAUGGGAGAGGAUGGUAGAAUUCCAGGUGUAGCGGUGAAAUGCGUAGAGAUCUGGAGGAAUACCGAUGGCGAAGGCAGCCAUCUGGCCCAAUACUGACACUGAGGUGCGAAAGCAUGGGGAGCAAACAGGAUUAGAUACCCCGGUAGUCC
rnacentral:rRNA from 1 species